GAAAGGCGCGGCAUACCACCGAGAUCGAGCGCCCAUCCACGCUUCACAGACACCCUUAUCUACACCGUUACCGAACAUUCGUGAAACGCCGCAGUAGUCAUGUCCAAAAAGUACAAGUUCUUCUACGAGAACGAUGGCAGCGGUCGAGAUACCUUCGUCAACUACGCCGGCGCGUACUGGAUGAACCCGCUGCCAGCCGGCACUUUCUUCAAGAGUAGAGGGCACCUGACGCAGUCGAGCGUGCCGACAGAAAACGGAACUAGCCUCGUGAUGGAUGACAGCACCCCGUACCCGGGCCGGACCCUGUUUGGCAAAUCGCGCUACGGUACUACCAUUCUGGCGGCAGGCCAGGCCGCCACACGCGACGCUACGGCUGACUCGCAAUCUGGCCACUCUGCCGGCAUGGGUAGUACCUCCGGCUCGACCGCCAACCACGUGGCGGGGACGGAUGCGGACGCGCAAGAUUUUGACGGGGAGGCGACGGCACUCGAGCACAUAUCAUUCGACGUCUCGAACCCGGAGCGGCGUCUGCAGCAGCCAGGGCACGCUACGACCGGCCUGGAGGGCACCGGCGGCGGCUCCACCUACAACGGCGUCAAGGAGCCAUGGACAGCGCCGAACGCGGUGGACAGCACGCUGUUGCGGCUGGCUCCUGCGUACGAGUCGACAUGCCAUUACCACCUGCGCACUGGUCUCUUCUACACCGAGGACGCUGCGCCGCCGCACGAGAUGACUCUUCCAGACAAGGGUGUCACGUGGGGCAGGUCUCGCUACUACUGAGCGGCGAUUCUCGUGUACGUGUACGUGUGUGUGUGCGUGAGAGAGUGGUUGUGUGCAAGGGACGUGGUCGGCCGUCCAUCUCGCCGCUUUUCUUUGCCAAAACACUGCGUAUGCCGCAACACAAUUGUACAGUACCUUCCUUCGCACUCCAAACCUGCGUCGCCGACCGCCCCAGCGCGGCACCCGAACUAUCGCCCACCCAGUCACGCGUUUGUAGCCAUCUGUGUGUGUGUGUGUGCCUGCCCGCACCUGCGCCUCGCUCUGUCGAUCUGGGUCGUUCGCAGGCCUCUUUUUGUUUGUCUUAAUAUUGUAUUGUCAAGUGUGUGGCCAUCGUCUCCACCUAGACUUCCUACACCUUCGCUGCGCGUCUGCACAAGACAUCUAGCGGCAAAGCUGGAUGCGUCGUGCAUAUGCACAGGAGGGGGUCGGAGUCACUCAACAGCCUCUCUGAGGUGUCGCUCACGCACGGAUCAUGUACAGCAGUAUCACGUUUUUUUCCGUUGUUUAUUAUUAUGUGCUUGACGCCAGAGAGGCGUAGGCGGAUGGCCGCCCUUGCUCCCAAACUCCAACUGCACAGAUGCACAUCAGCGGAAAAGGAAGGGAAAGCGGGCGCUCACAGACCCUCUCCACCUCGAUCUCACGCAAGCACGCACACGAUAGCCCUAUAUGCAUAUACAUGUAUAUUCUUCCAUCUCUCUCGUGUUGCUCCUAAACAGACGCUGCGGCCCCGCUUGGUCUGCCUUUCGUUUUUGUAUCUCUCUCUGUGUUGGUGUGUAUCGGGGGGGGAGUGCGUGUGUGCGUGUACUCGAGUUGCUAGUUCCGAUCACGGCUUUUUGCUAUGUUUCUUUUUUGUCUCCUCACCGGAUCUUCCCAUGUACCGCUGUCUCACGUGGAUGCUUAUGCUCCCCUCCUUUCCUGUCCCCCCCCCGCUGGCGCCCGCCCAAUCUAGGUGUGACAAGGUGUGAAGAGCAAGUACCUUGGCAGUGCAGAGAACCAGACGCACACUGCGUAGCCAUACAAACAAAAAAGCGAAGGAUGCGCAGGCCAGUGCCCUUGCAUGUCGGCGCUGUGCUUCGCUUGCUGCUCUUUCUAAGGGUGGCGGGUCGUAACAAAGCAUGCGCGACAGGGGCAGUGCUGCCGUCAGAGACACAUCUGCCGAGAAGGACUAGAGAGAGCCGAGGAGAGGUCAAUGUAAACCGACAAGUAUCUGUCGCCAUCUGUCUCUUUCCUCGGUAUCUGCCUUUGCUCACUAUGUGUGCAUGUCUGAGCACAUGUGCGUGUGGGGUGGGGUAGGGGAGGGGAGGUGCACGAAUCCUCAAUGUGUGGUGAGCGCGAGUCCUUAGGGAGGCUAAGGGGGCUGAUGCUCACCCACACUUCUUUUUGUUGGGGAAGGGGGCACGCAUGUGCCAGACACAAACACGCUGUGAAGCGGGGCGGAUGUAAUCGUGUGCGGAUCGUCCUCUCCUGGUGUUGGUGAAGGGUGUCGCCGCUGGAAGCUGUGCAUCGUGGACCUUCAUCCGCCUCCGCCCCGUUAGAAUGUCUGUGGCACCCCCUCCGCCGCGUGACUCUC
rnacentral:misc_RNA from 1 species